rnacentral:rRNA from 1 species
UUGACGGGGCCCGCACAAGCGGUGGAGCAUGUGGUUUAAUUCGAUGCAACGCGAAGAACCUUACCUGGGCUUGACAUCCCGGGAAUCCCUUGGAAACAAGGGAGUGCCCUUCGGGGAACCUGGAGACAGGUGCUGCAUGGCUGUCGUCAGCUCGUGUCGUGGGAUGUUGGGUUAAGUCCCGCAACGAGCGCAACCCUCGACCUUAGUUGCCAGCAUUCAGUUGGGCACUCUAAGGUGACUGCCGGCUAAAAGUCGGAGGAAGGUGGGGAUGACGUCAAAUCAUCAUGCCCCUUAUGACCUGGGCUACACACGUGCUACAAUGGGCGGUACAAAGGGUCGCGAACCCGCGAGGGGGAGCCAAUCCCAAAAAGCCGCUCUCAGUUCGGAUUGCAGGCUGCAACUCGACUGCGUGAAGUCGGAAUCGCUAGUAAUCGCGGAUCAGCAUGUCGCGGUGAAUACGUUCCCGGGUCUU